UGGGGAAUUGUUCGCAAUGGGCGCAAGCCUGACGACGCAACGCCGCGUGGAGGAUGAAGACCUUCGGGUCGUAAACUCCUUUCGAUCGAGACGAAUGGCCUCCGGGUGAACAAUCCGGAGGAGUGACGGUACCGAGAGAAGAAGCCCCGGCUAACUCCGUGCCAGCAGCCGCGGUAAUACAGAGGGUGCGAGCGUUAAUCGGAAUUACUGGGCGUAAAGCGCACGUAGGUGGCGACGUAAGUCGGGUGUGAAAGCCCCGGGCUCAACCUGGGAAUUGCAUUCGAGACUGUGUUGCUGGAGUACGGAAGAGGAGGGCGGAAUUCCCGGUGUAGCGGUGAAAUGCGUAGAUAUCGGGAGGAACAUCAGUGGCGAAGGCGGCCCUCUGGUCCAGUACUGACACUCAAGUGCGAAAGCGUGGGGAGCAAACAGGAUUAGAUACCCGAGUAGUCCCUGAGCGGGCUGGCAAGGCGCAU
rnacentral:rRNA from 1 species